UAAUUUAAUCAACGGAAAAUAUUUAACAUUUAAUUUCAAAAUUCUGUCUCUCCAACUUAUACUGGUGGAGACCCCUGCUGUAGAGACUCAAUAAUGCAGCUUUGAAUUCAUUUAUUUUUUAAUUUUCAGCAGUGCUGAUCAGGACUCCUCCUCCAGCUGUGUGAUCCUCUAAGGGGGGCCCUGCGUGCACCACCGCCACGGUCAGGAGAGGUGGCGCUAUUGACUAACAGCUGCUUCAGCCACUGCUCACCACUGUGCAAUAAAACACGGAGCUGUGCAGAAGUUUCUUCUUCCACUUUUUAUUUCAGAACCAGAAGCUGCAGCUCCAGCCCAAGUUCAACAUCUGCUGCUCCCCCUGCUGGGCGUUCUGUAUGUAUGAGCUUCUGAUUCACUCCCGUCAGCUUUAGAAUCGUCGACAGAAACUUUUACACAGUUCUUAAAAAAAACACCAAAAAAAACAACCAUAUCAUGCGCUGCUGCUUUAAAGACCAAAUAUUUGACCUUUGUCUGUCUGUGUACUCCAGCUGCUGGUACUUCAUCCAGCACGUGUGUAUACUACAACUACUACUAUACUAACUUUACUAACACUGGACCUGUUUUUUAUUUACUCUCAUUCAACAAUAAUUUGAAGUACAAUCGCAGUACAAGUAUCCGCUACAUGAAUAUUACUUUACGUUACUGCUCAGUGAGUCUGAAACAACACAGCUGUUGAGUGGAUGUGUUAAAAUACUACAUCAGUGAAGUACAAAUGUGGGGAAAUUUUAUAUAUGUAUUUUAAUUCUUUUUCAGUGUUUUUUACUCAUUUUUUCCAGUUACAUAAAAAAAAAAAAAACAAGACGUUUUUAUUAUACAGACAUUUUUGAUUAAAAAAAAUUAUUUGACAUAUAUUGAUUUUUUUUUUCUAUAAAGAUCACCAUUAAAAUGAAGCACUUUUUAUAAAUAGUCUGAACAUUCAGUCCGACUGACGAACGCUGUGAAAACACCAGAACGUGUGACUUUAAGGACCGUGGUCAAACACACAGCUCGAGGUCCUGGGAAAGGGUUUUUUUAGAUUUAGAUUAAAGUUCAGUCUCAGAGGCAGGAUUUAUUUUAAUCUCCAAUGAUUCACACUAAUCUACUACUUUUUUUUUUAUUGAACAACGUUCUUUAUUGUCAGUCUUUAGUCCUAGAACUGUUACAGGAACUCUACAGUCACCAAAGUCUGUCGUGAACUCUUCAUGCUGAUCUGUUAUUACGUUACAUCUAUCAUAGCCAUAUAAUCACUAUUGAGUAUGCAACGCCCCCUACUGUCAGGUCUGUUGUAUUACUGUGAUAUUUGAAUUUUCACUCUAUACUGUUCAUAUUAGGAGAUUAGAAAAUAAAAUAAAAAAAAUCUGAAUAUUUUCACACCAAUCAAUGAUCUCUAGCUCGGAGCUGACAAAUAUUUUAUAAUUGUAUACAGUACUUCUGAGUUCUUUUAUUACAGGGUGGUUUUUGUGUACAUUGAACAAACUCAGACAAAAUAUUUUUUUAUUGUCCAUUUGGUUUGAGAAGAAAAUCUAACAAACAAAUUUAAACUGUUGACAGAAACACUCACUCCUGUGUCUAAUAUAUAUAUAUAUAUACAUAUACACAUCUAUCAGACUAUAUUAGACAUACUGAUGUAACUGUCUGCUAAUUAAUUAAGCGGGUGCAUUUAAACAGAUGUACUGUGUGUUACAGAUAUUUAUAGGUGGUGGUUUGUGUAAAACCAGGCAAGAAAACCUGGUUAAACCUCUGUUUUAUCGCUUUUUUAAAAAAUAAUCACAUUUAUAUAUACAGUCUAUGUGAUGCUAUAUGUAUGUGUCUUGAUGAUUUUGACUUUUGCAUUUAUCGCAUACUUUUUAAAGUACAGUUUCCAAGCUUUAUCUUCAUGUUAGCCAAUCCUAAUGCUCAUCAAAAUGUAAUUGCACAAUAAAUCUCAAGAAAGAAACCACUGUGUUUGUGUGUUUUAACUGAUUUGCUGUAGACAAUAGUCGAUUUAUGGGUUGUUGGAUUUUUCUUUAUUAUAUUUGUGUCCGAGGUUGCACUUCUCCUGACUGAGCACAAGAUGGAGACAAAGACGAACGUUUUAAGAUAUAACCAGAUGAGAAACAAUUAGCGUAGUUAUCCUGCAGCUUUGAACAAAAUACAACGUCUGUCCAGGUUUAAUUCCACAGGAACCUGUCGAUGUCAAUCCCGAAAACAUCGAAAAUGACCCGUUUUCAUACAAGAUGGGGAUCGAGCCUGAGGUCGUCAACAGACCCGGCCCACCUGGAGUCAACAGACCCUAACCACAGCCAUGUGUCCGGAACCUUCCAGCGUACGGUUCUCGGAGAUGUUUAGAAUAUUCUUCCUGCAAGGUUCCAUCAGAACUUGUGCUGUUGUUUUAAAAUCGUAGACCAAGGACGACAGCAGUCAACAUUGUUGUGACGUAGGUUUCUCUUCUGUUCAUUUGCACCACAUCGUUACAUUUUGGUUAAAAAACAAAACAAA